UACGUAGGUGGCAAGCGUUGUCCGGAUUUAUUGGGUUUAAAGGGUGCGUAGGCGGCCUUUUAAGUCAGUGCUGAAAUACUCUAGCUUAACUAGAGGGGUGGCAUUGAUACUGAAAGGCUUGAGUGAAGUCGAGGUAGGCGGAAUUGACGGUGUAGCGGUGAAAUGCUUAGAUAUCGUCAAGAACACCGAUAGUGAAGACAGCUUACUAGACUUCAACUGACGCUGAGGCACGAAAGUGUGGGGAGCAAACAGG
rnacentral:rRNA from 1 species